rnacentral:rRNA from 1 species
GAUGAACGCUGGCGGCGUGCCUAAUACAUGCAAGUAGAACGCUGAAGCUUGGUGCUUGCACCGAGCGGAUGAGUUGCGAACGGGUGAGUAACGCGUAGGUAACCUGCCUCUUAGCGGGGGAUAACUAUUGGAAACGAUAGCUAAUACCGCAUAAAAGUCGAUAUCGCAUGAUGUUGAUUUGAAAGGUGCAAUUGCAUCACUAAGAGAUGGACCUGCGCUGUAUUAGCUAGUUGGUGAGGUAACGGCUCACCAAGGCGACGAUACAUAGCCGACCUGAGAGGGUGAUCGGCCACACUGGGACUGAGACACGGCCCAGACUCCUACGGGAGGCAGCAGUAGGGAAUCUUCGGCAAUGGGGGCAACCCUGACCGAGCAACGCCGCGUGAGUGAAGAAGGUUUUCGGAUUGUAAAGCUCUGUUGUAAGAGAAGAACGAGUGUGAGAGUGGAAAGUUCACACUGUGACGGAACUACCAGAAAG